GAACGCUGGCGGCAGGCCUAACACAUGCAAGUCGAGCGGAUGAAGGGAGCUUGCUCUNUGAUUCAGCGGCGGACGGGUGAGUAAUGCCUAGGAAUCUGCCUGGUAGUGGGGGACAACGUUCCGAAAGGAGCGCUAAUACCGCAUACGUCCUACGGGAGAAAGUGGGGGAUCUUCGGACCUCACGCUAUCAGAUGAGCCUAGGUCGGAUUAGCUAGUAGGUGGGGUAAUGGCUCACCUAGGCGACGAUCCGUAACUGGUCUGAGAGGAUGAUCAGUCACACUGGAACUGAGACACGGUCCAGACUCCUACGGGAGGCAGCAGUGGGGAAUAUUGGACAAUGGGCGAAAGCCUGAUCCAGCCAUGCCGCGUGUGUGAAGAAGGUCUUCGGAUUGUAAAGCACUUUAAGUUGGGAGGAAGGGCAGUAAGUUAAUACCUUGCUGUUUUGACGUUACCAACAGAAUAAGCACCGGCUAACUUCGUGCCAGCAGCCGCGGUAAUACGAAGGGUGCAAGCGUUAAUCGGAAUUACUGGGCGUAAAGCGCGCGUAGGUGGUUUGGUAAGAUGGAUGUGAAAUCCCCGGGCUCAACCUGGGAACUGCAUCCAUAACUGCCUGACUAGAGUACGGUAGAGGGUGGUGGAAUUUCCUGUGUAGCGGUGAAAUGCGUAGAUAUAGGAAGGAACACCAGUGGCGAAGGCGACCACC
rnacentral:rRNA from 1 species